UAUUAUUAUGCAUGUGAAUUAAUAUACUUGAGUAGUAAUAGUUAUGAUCUUGAAACUCAAAGAAUUUGGCGGUAUUUUAGUCCUUUCAGAGGAAUCUGUUCUGUAAUUGAUAAUACACGAUUUUCUUUACUUUCUAUUUAUGGUUUGUAUACCGCCGUAAUAAGAUUAUCUUGAUGAGAGAUAAAAAUUUCUUUAUCUUAGAAUGGAGAAUAUUUCAGGUCAAGGUGCAGCUUAUGAGAAAGAAGAAAUGGAUUACAAUAAUUUUAAUUAUGACGGAUAAAAGCUUGAUAAUUUGUAUUUUUGAAGGUGGAUUUGAUUGUAAAUUUGUUUGAAUUAAUAAAUUGAUUAGGGCUCUAAAAUGUGCACACAUCGCCCGUCGCUCUCAUUAUUAUUUGAG
rnacentral:rRNA from 1 species